ACCUACGGGAGGCAGCAGUGGGGGAUAUUGCACAAUGGGGGGAACCCUGAUGCAGCGACGCCGCGUGGGUGAAGAAGCGCCUCGGCACGUAAAGCCCUGUCAGCAGGGAAGAAAAUGACGGUACCUGAAGAAGAAGCCCCGGCUAACUACGUGCCAGCAGCCGCGGUAAUACGUAGGGGGCAAGCGUUAUCCGGAUUUACUGGGUGUAAAGGGGGCGCAGACGGCGAUGCAAGCCAGGAGUGAAAGCCCGGAGCCCAACCCCGGUACUGCUCUUGGAACUGCGUGGCUGGAGUGCAGGAGGGGAG
rnacentral:rRNA from 1 species